rnacentral:rRNA from 1 species
GGAGGCUCAGGUGAGCGGCGGACGGGUUAGUAACGCGUGGGAAUAUGCCCUUUUCUGCGGAAUAGCCUCUGGAAACGGAGAGUAAUACCGCAUACGCCCUUUGGGGGAAAGAUUUAUCGGAGAAGGAUUAGCCCGCGUUAGAUUAGGUAGUUGGUGGGGUAAUGGCCUACCAAGCCUACGAUCUAUAGCUGGUUUUAGAGGAUGAUCAGCAACACUGGGACUGAGACACGGCCCAGACUCCUACGGGAGGCAGCAGUGGGGAAUCUUGGACAAUGGGGGCAACCCUGAUCCAGCCAUGCCGCGUGAGUGAUGAAGGCCUUAGGGUCGUAAAGCUCUUUCGCCUGUGAAGAUAAUGACGGUAGCAGGUAAAGAAACCCCGGCUAACUCCGUGCCAGCAGCCGCGGUAAUACGGAGGGGGUUAGCGUUGUUCGGAAUUACUGGGCGUAAAGCGCACGUAGGCGGACCAGAAAGUUGGGGGUGAAAUCCCGGGGCUCAACCCCGGAACUGCCUCCAAAACUAUUGGUCUAGAGUUCGAGAGAGGUGAGUGGAAUUCCAAGUGUAGAGGUGAAAUUCGUAGAUAUUUGGAGGAACACCAGUGGCGAAGGCGGCUCACUGGCUCGAUACUGACGCUGAGGUGCGAAAGUGUGGGG